GGACUACACGGGUAUCUAAUCCUGUUUGCUCCCCACGCUUUCGUGCCUCAGUGUCAGUUACAGUCCAGAAAGCCGCCUUCGCCACUGGUGUUCCUCCUAAUAUCUACGCAUUUCACCGCUACACUAGGAAUUCCGCUUUCCUCUCCUGCACUCAAGCCAAACAGUUCGCAAGGCGAACAAUGGUUAAGCCAUUGCCUUAAACCCUGCGCUUAUCUGGCCACCUACGCACUCUUUACGCCCAAUAAUUCCGGAUAACGCUUGCCCCCUACGUAUUACCGCGGCUGCUGGCAC
rnacentral:rRNA from 1 species